rnacentral:lncRNA from 1 species
AGACAUUCUUAUAUUUGGGUAGUAAUAUAUUAACAGGGCAAUCAAAUGCCCCACACCAUCCUUACACACAUUGUAACAAGAAAUGUAUCCCCACAAAAGAGGAACAAAAUAGAAAAGUACAGACAUUGCGUGGCUCUCAUGUCUCAAGCUUAUUCAGACUUACAGACACUAGGAAACAUACAUACAUCACAGUGAAACAUAAUGGCAAAUCUUCCACAGAUAAAGCAAAUAAGCACCGAUUAAGAUGGAAUACGGGGGAGAAAUCGACUCCAUAUGUAAGCAUCGUUUGUCAAACAAUGUCUUCUCCCGUGGUGGUGCUGACCUGGGAAGUCAAUGGAGCAGAGCAGGCAUUUCCUUAUCCGCUUGGAAGCUCCGUCCUCAGCAGUCUCUCUGGCAAGGUCUCCAUCCCCAUGUUGGACAGAAGGAGCCAGACAUAGGUCAGUAACUCCCCACAGGUCUUAACUUGAUUUGCAUCGAAUGACCUAGUUGCAUCGAAUAUGGUUCAUGUACCUAGGCAGCAACGCUCUAGCCGUAUUUACAGAAGCACGUCUUAAUUUGAUUUGCAUCGAAUGACCUAGUUGUCUAUGUUGUUUACAUGUGCAUAUAUACCGAUUGAAAGUAGACCCGCUGGGCAGGACUUGUUCAGAUUUUACAUGCUUUGGACAAAAACACAGCUGGACUGUUGCUUAAACUCUUAUGUGAAUCCCAUUCCCAUAGUAUGUUGAAGGUAAGCAAGGGUGGAUGCAGCUCUUACUAGUUACCACCCUACCUCUUCUCUUCUUCUUCUUCUUCUUCUUCUUCUUCUUCUUCUUCUUCUUGGAUCACAAUCCAUACCCCAAAACACAACUUGGUCAGCUUUAAUUCAACAGAAAAUGCCAAGGAAAAGGAUCACAAUCCAAUCUACUCCAGCCAUCCCUACCAUGGGAAUGCACCGUCAUCCAGCGUCCACUACGCCUACCAGUCGGGAUCAGCAUGGCAAUGCUGACGCGCUAAACUCGGCAUGACUCGCUUACACAUGCAUACGGUGAGCUCACACACACUAACUUGAUUUUGUGUGUAAAAAGUAACACUAAAACAAAGGGCAGGUUUGGGUAACAAUGUUUGCAUUGAGGGAGCACGCAGGGGAGCCGAGCAAGCGUGAGGGGGCGUCCACGCUCGGUCAUUCAAUGGUCACUAGGUUGCUACUCCAGCUAGAAACGGAUGGGAAUAAACACAAGCACCUGGCGUGCAAGCAGGCGGGCAGAAGCUGACCUGGUGGCACUUCCAGUGGACGGAGGAGAGGUCGCCAGCCAUGCCGUGGGCGUAGUUUACCCGGUC